ACGGGAGGCAGCAGUGGGGGAUAUUGCACAAUGGGGGAAACCCUGAUGCAGCGACGCCGCGUGAGUGAUGAAGUAUUUCGGUAUGUAAGGCUCUAUCAGCAGGGAAGAAAAUGACGGUACCUGACUAAGAAGCUCCGGCUAAAUACGUGCCAGCAGCCGCGGUAAUACGUAUGGAGCAAGCGUUAUCCGGAUUUACUGGGUGUAAAGGGAGCGUAGACGGUGACGCAAGUCUGAAGUGAAAGGUGUGGGCUCAACCCGCAAACUGCUUUGGAAACUGUGUGACUAGAGUGUCGGAGAGGUAAGUGGAAUUCCUAGUGUAGCGGUGAAAUGCGUAGAUAUUAGGAGGAACACCAGUGGCGAAGGCGGCUUACUGGACGAUAACUGACGUUGAGGCUCGAAAGCGUGGGGAGCAAACAGGAUUAGAUACCCUGGUA
rnacentral:rRNA from 1 species